rnacentral:rRNA from 1 species
UACGGAGGAUGCAAGCGUUAUCCGGAUUGAUUGGGCGUAAAGCGUCUGUAGGUGGUUACGCUAGUCGGCUGUUAAAGAUCAGGGCUGAACCCUGAGCAAGCAGUCGAAACUGCGUGGCUGGAGUACGGUAGGGGCAGAGGGAAUUCCCGGUGUAGCGGUGAAAUGCGUAGAUAUCAGGAGGAACCCCUGUGGUGUAGACAGCUUACUGGACCAUUUCUGACGCUGAGACACGAAAGCGUGGGUAGCAAACAGG